GGGAGAAUAGCUAAUUCUGAUGAGACACCUACAAGCUUCAAGUCAGUCUCGUGCACCAAUCAACUACCAGUUUUUGAGACAGAGUUGAUGAUGCUGCAGCAAGGUGCUUGGAAAGUACAAAACCAGCAACUAGCACUUAAAGGAGAGUUGAGUUCGCUGCAGCAAAAAGCUGGGAAGGAGCUGCUAAGGCACAUAUGGGCUGACAAUGGAGAAACACCAAAAACAAUAAGCCAUUUCUUUACUUUUCUCUUUAAUUGUAGUUUUAGAUUUUUGUUAGUAAUGUGCAUAGUCUUAACUAGCAUAGUAAAUGGUAGAAUUGAUAAUAUGUUGUUUUACAUAAAAAUAAAAAGAAUAAAUUUUGAUUUGUGGACAAUUUGAGAUUUUCUUUUUCUAUUGCACAUUUGUCUCUGUUCUUUGCUUUAGAUUCAUAUCUUUAGUUUGUUCCUUUAUUCUUNGUUCUGUUGAAUUCAUGUUAGAAUAUUUUUUAGUUCAGAUUGUGCUUUCAAUUUUCCUUUCAUUUAGGUUUUGCUGCAGUUUUAGGUAGUUAUAGUAUUUAGAUUUUUUUUCUUUGUUUUGAGUAGUUUAGACUGUUAUUUCCUUUUCUUUUAUAUUGCAUUUCAGUUUCUUUAUUCUUUUAAACAGAUUUUAGUUUAGAUUUUUAUUUUUUUCAUUUUAGUUUCAUUCAUUUUAAUUGUGUCCCCACCUGUUUAGUAGUUUAAUAGUAAAUAAAAUACAAGACCUUAACCAUACAC
rnacentral:lncRNA from 1 species